rnacentral:rRNA from 1 species
UAACACAUGUCAUACGCGCACGCGCGCUACACUGAUACAUUCAUCGAGUUUACACCUUGGCCGGAAGGUCUGGGUAAUCUUUUGAAACUUGUUCGGGCUGGGAAUAAUUCAUUGAAAUUAUUGUCCUUCAACGAGAAAUUCCUAGUAAGCGCGAGUCAUCACCUCGCGUGGAUUACUUCCCUGCCCUUUGUACCCCCCCCCCGCCCCUCCUACCGAUGGAAGGGUUUAGGGAGGCUUUCGAAUGGUGCCUUGGGAGGGGGCACCCGCCCUUUGGAACUGAAAAGUUAACCAAACUUGUUCAUUUAAAGGAAGUAAAAGUCGUAACAAGGUUUCCGUAGGUGAACCCCGGGGAAA